AAACGAUGUCCCGCAGCUGUUGAGGCUGAA
rnacentral:sRNA from 1 species